CAGAUAUGGGAAAGCAGCAGAGAGAUCUACAAAAAAAAAAAAAAAAACAGCGCAUAAGAAAACUACAAAGAUGGAUGUGGGAGUGUGCAGACUGCUGAACCAAUUUACAGUAGCAAGGCUUGCUAAUGUAGACACCAGAUAAUGACUAGAUCAGAGAGCCAACCUUAAGCCUUCAAUAUCCGGCAUGUGUGAAAGUGGAGCAGAUGAAUACAGAAACACACACACUAGCAUCAAAAAGACCAUGGACACUUUUGCAUAGAAGUUUGUCUGCCCAUGGAGGUCAGCAAGUCUAAAGUAGAGAUGCAGUAAUCAAUCGACCAGAGAUAGGAAUUGGCAAAUGUUUCCUUGAUCAGCUCUGAUCUGUGAUUCCCAGGCGGCAUCAACACUCUGUAAAGUCAUCACAUCUUAACUCGAGCCCUCUCCAUAUCAGAGUGAUCUCGCCAUCCAAUCUGCCCGGGGGGCCGCUGAGGGCUCCUACCUGAGCUGUCCAUGGUGCUGCAGUC